GAUGAACGCUGGCGGCGCGCCUAACACAUGCAAGUCGAACGAUUAAAGCACCUUCGGGUGUGUAUAAAGUGGCGAACGGCUGAGUAACACGUGGGCAACCUGCCCCUCUCAUUGGGAUAGCCACGGGAAACCGUGGAUAAUACCGAAUACUUCGGGACUCCCGCAUGGAAGACUCGAGAAAGCGACGGCGGAGAGGGAUGGGCCCGCGGCCUGUUAGCUUGUUGGUGGGGUAAUGGACUACCAAGGCAAUGAUGGGUAGCUAGGGUGAGAGGGCGACAAGCCAGAUUGGGACGGAGACGCGGCCCGGACUCCAACGGGAGGCAGCAGUGGGGUAGCGAGCACUAUGGGCGAAGGCAUGGUGCAGCGCCGCCGCGUGGGGUAUGAAGGCCUUCCGGUAGUAAAGCGCUUUCAGCAGGGACGGGGCGAAAGUGACGGUACCUGCAGAAGAAGCCCCGGCUAACUACGUG
rnacentral:rRNA from 1 species